rnacentral:sRNA from 1 species
GCCCCGUGAGCUCACCUACAUGUUAGGGC